rnacentral:rRNA from 1 species
GAUGAACGCUGGCGGCGUGCCUAAUACAUGCAAGUCGAGCGAACAGAUAAGGAGCUUGCUCCUUUGACGUUAGCGGCGGACGGGUGAGUAACACGUGGGUAACCUACCUAUAAGACUGGAAUAACUCCGGGAAACCGGGGCUAAUGCCGGAUAAUAUUUAGAACCGCAUGGUUCUAAAGUGAAAGAUGGUUUUGCUAUCACUUAUAGAUGGACCCGCGCCGCAUUAGCUAGUUGGUAAGGUAACGGCUUACCAAGGCAACGAUACGUAGCCGACCUGAGAGGGUGAUCGGCCACACUGGAACUGAGACACGGUCCAGACUCCUACGGGAGGCAGCAGUAGGGAAUCUUCCGCAAUGGGCGAAAGCCUGACGGAGCAACGCCGCGUGAGUGAUGAAGGUCUUCGGAUCGUAAAACUCUGUUAUUAGGGAAGAACAAAUGUGUAAGUAACUGUGCACGUCUUGACGGUACCUAAUCAGAAAGCCACGGCUAACUACGUG